AUUUUUGAACUAUUUUAAAACUCUUGUAAACCUUUACAAAAAGGUUUUAAAAAGAUUUACAAGAGUUUUUAAAGGGUCUUCUUGAAAAUUCUUUAAAGAUCUUUUAAAAACCCUUGUAAAUCUUUUAAAACCCUUUUAAACCCUUUAAAAAUCUCUUAUAAAUCUCUUAAAACUCUUUAAAAAUCCAUUGUAAAUCUUUUAAAACACUUUUAAAGCCUUUAAAAAUCUUUUAAAAACUCUUGUAAAUCUUUUAAAGCCCUUUAAAAAUCUUUUGAAAAUUUUUUAAAACUCUUUAAAAAUCCCUUGUAAAUCUUUUAAAAUCUCUUGUAAAUUUAUUUCCCGCCAAAAAAAAAUUUCGAUUGGAAACUUUUUUUCGAAUUUUUUGGCAGAAAAUUUAUUUUGGAAUAUUGCAAGCAAAAAAAAUAUUAACAUUUCAUUUUGUUAAUCUAAAACAAUUUUUAAAUAGAGAUAAAAUGACCAUUAAAAAUUUAAAGAGGCUAUAAAUAAAAAUUUAAUGUGGAAAUGAUAUUUUUAACAAUUAUUUUUGUUUUUUCUGUCAAAUGACGAAGAGAAUUGUUUUUUUUUGUGAUUUCUGAGGAAUUGGAUGUUAGUCUGUCAAAUGACGAAGAGAAUUGGGGUU
rnacentral:sRNA from 1 species